CUUAUAGUGUGUUGCCAAGUAAUGUGCUUGUGCUCUGGCCUUUCAUGCGCUCAAAGUGUGACUGUGUGUGUGUGUUAAAGAGGAGAUAUGUUUGUGGGUGUUUGCUCAGACUAAGAGUGUCGAACUUCCUGGAAGAAAAUCUGAGUUGCCGAGAAUUCUGCGAUCACUCACAAUAACAAAUUCCUGAAAACGAAGACUGUAAUCAAGAAGUGGAUCAGCUGGUCCACUUUGGAGGAAAUAAAGGACCACCGAAGAACCUCCUCUAACCCCAUCUCACCCACACUGCCUCCCCUACCAUCCUAACGACACUCUUUCUGCUGUGGAUCACUUCCAGUUCCUAGGAACUUCCCUCCGUUGGGACCUGUGAUGGUACCAUAAACACGGUUCUGCAGAAGGCUCAGCUUAGAAUGUCGUCCUGUGACACCUCAAGGAGUUCAUAGUAAUAUUGCGUAAAAAGCUUUGGGGUUCUUGAACUUGAAAAGCAACAUCUAAGUACAGUAGAUUUACCAUUUACUAUCCACGACUUGUCUAGAGUCUGAAAAAGGACAGCUAACAUCUCUGCAGACCCCACACAUCCUGGGCACAAAACGUUUGGGCUUUACCGUCAGGUCGCCGCAACCAAGGGCUGUUUGCAAAAAUUAGUCUUGAAAAGAGACAGUUCCUUUCCCCAGGCUUUCAUUCUGAUGAAAACGAUAAAUACCUCACCCCGAGUACUCAGCUACACUAUUGUGAGACAAAAUAUGUUUAUUGCAUUUCAUCACUCAAAGCCCACCCAUUCCUUUUCUGUAGAAGUUAAACUGAUUACUGUGUACCUAAGGUGAUGUUGGAGCUCUAUUACCAAAGCCAAGUUGUCGACUGUACCAAAUCAAGGCUAAAUAAAUCAGAUUCACAUUUUGA